ACAAUACUGAUCAUUAGAAGUGAAACUAUAUCGAAUAGUCCGUCACGAAACUUUUAUUCGCGUUUAGUGAUUAUAAGUUAAGCGUGCGUGUGUUCGGUAGUAUUUGUAACAUGCAAUGUCGAAGUGGAUUCAUCGUGUGCUCGCAGAUCGCCCAUAGAAAGUGAACGUGAGAGACUAUAGUCUGAGAGCUGUCGUGACGUCAUUUUACUGGACAUCGUUUUUAUGUAUUUUUUUGUUUGUUUGAAUUCUGAAUAAAUAUCUACUAUGAGUUUA